ensembl:misc_RNA Metazoa_SRP Metazoan signal recognition particle RNA
GCCGGGCGCAGUGGGGCAUGCCUGUAGUCCCAGCUACUUGGGAGGCUGAGGUGGGAGGAUUGCUUGAGUCUAGGAGUCUAGGAGUCCUGGGCUGUAGGGCAUUAUGCCGACCAGGUGUCCGCACUAAGUUCGGCUGCAAUAUGGUGACCUCCCAGGAAUGGGGGACCACCAGGUUGCCUAAGGAAGGGUGAACCAGCCCAGGUUGGAAACGGAGCAGGUCAGAACUCCAGUGCCGAUCAGUAGUGGGAUUGCACCUGUGAACAGCCACUGUACUCCAGCCUGGGUAACAACAGAGCUUGACCCCAUCUCUA